rnacentral:RNase_P_RNA from 1 species
CGAGCCGGUCGGGUGGCCGCGGGCGCAGGCCGCAGGGUUUGCGCCCGAGGAAAGUCCGGGCUCCCACGGGCAGGGUGCUGGGUAACACCCAGGCGGGGCGACCCGCGGAAAGUGGCACAGAAACCAUACCGCCGGGCGGCCGUAACGCCGCCCGGUAAGGGUGAAAAGGUGCGGUAAGAGCGCACCAGCAGUCGGGUGACCGGCUGGCUGGCCAAACCCCACCCGGAGCAAGGCCAAGCAGGGGGCGUUGAGGCGGGCCCGUCCGAGCCCCCGGGUAGGCCGCUAGAGGUGGCGGGCAACCGUCACCCCAGAUGGAUGGCCACCGCGGCCGGAUAACCCCGGCCGUACAGAACCCGGCUUACAGACCGACUCGGUCC